UUUCCGCCGCCGACCCUCAACCGAGGGUGUCGGACGUCGCGACCCGUUCGCCCAGGUCGAUACUCAGGGACGCGUUUCAAGUUCGCCGGCGCGGUCGUCUCGGCGGCCGCGUCACGAUGGCGCGUUUCCGCUGUUCUCGACGCGGACGGUAGCUUUGCGCGCGGGUAAUCGACGCGGUCCUUUGUCCGGCGUCUCCGUACGUCGGACGGCGCUCGCGUCGACGCCGGUCAGCGACGAAUCUUCGGGCCUCUUUCCGACCCGUCUUGAAACACGGACCAAGGAGUCUAGCGUGCGCGCGAGUCGCGGGGUAUCCGAGUCGUCGUAGUCGUUUCGGCGGCGAACGCGACUCGUCACGAUACGAAACCCGUGUACGUACGUUGUGCGAAGGCGUAAUGAAAGUGAAAGGCGACGCUUCGCGCGUCGCCGGGGGAAGACGGUGUUCCGUGUACCACGUUUCGCGGUCAUACGUGUACCGCGGCCGGACACCCGCAUUCCCAGGGCGUCCCGCUCGUACGUCGGCCGUCGGGUCUCGGCUCGGCGGUCGGCGAACUGGGGCGCACCUACAGCGUGCACGCUGGUACCCGAAAGAUGGUGAACUAUGCCCGGCCAGGAUGAA
rnacentral:rRNA from 1 species